GAUGAACGCUGGCGGCGUGCUUAACACAUGCAAGUCGAACGGAAAGGCCCUGCGUUUGUGGGGUUCUCGUUUGCCGAACGGGUGAGUGUCACGUGAGUAACCUGUCCUUGUCUUUGUGAUAACUUCAGGAAACUGGGGCUAAUACAGGAUAUGAGCUCCUGCUGCAUGGUGUGGGUUGGUAAGUUUCGGCGGUUGGGGAUGGACUCGCGGCUUAUCCGCUUGUUGGUGGGGUAGUUGCUUACCAAGCCUGUGACGGGUAGCCGGCGUGAGAGGGUGAACGGCCACAUUGGGACUGAGAUACGGCCCAGACUCCUACGGGAGGCAGUAGUGGGGAAUAUUGCACAAUGGGCGGAAGCCUGAUGCAGAAACGCCGCGUGCGGGAUGACGGCCUUCGGGUUGUAAACCGCUUUGGCCUGUGACGAAGCGUGAGUGACGGUAAUGGGUAAAGAAGCACCGGCUAACUACGUG
rnacentral:rRNA from 1 species